rnacentral:lncRNA from 1 species
CCUGAUUCAGCUUCGCCGUCAUGCAUUAGCUCAAUGCAGCUGAGUUCUAAGUAUCAUCAAUUGCAUACGCUGCCACACGUCGACAAAGAUUUCUCGUGGUUCGACGAGAAGGCUACGACAGUCAUUGUGGUUAGCUCGGCAAUAACUUUGAAGCUACUGUGAAGACUAUUGAAAUCUGAUAUACUCGACUACAAUGCCACUUAGGCACUCAUUUGCACGAACUAAGCACUCACAGACAUAUUAUUUACUGAAGUAUGAUGAUGAGCAGUGAAGAUAAAAAAAUUCCUUUUUUUAAUACAAAAAAUCAUAGAGUAAGAAAAAAGAAAAAGAGAGAUAGAGUCAUCAUCAACAAUCAGUACGACAAAGCCCGUCGAGGUAAAUAUGGUUAUGGUCGUGUUUGGAAAACAUGUAAGGGAAAGGCGAGACACGUGACGUCAGCGGUGAAUAAUCCCUCAGAAACAGCAAGUUACGCUUUCCUAAACUCAUGUCAGGGCGCUCUCGUCAGCCAGAAAACCCAUUGAUUGUCACAAUGGCAACAUCAAGAGGCCAAAGGAGUUCACUGCCUCGACGAGGUUAGAUAUGGCUGUAAUUGGGUGAAUCCAUCCUACCUUAUUCGGUGAGUUGAUUUCUAAUGGACUUGGAGAGAGAGUGUAUCAGGAACUAGAUUGAUGUUGAUUAGAACAAACUUCAAUGCGAGAGCAGGGUCGGAAUACCUUACAAGCUGGGUCUGUCGACAAAUAGAUUUGAUUUGAACCCGAUUACGAUCGACAGGAGUCCGCAGCUCCACACAGUAUUUACUGCGUUGUGAAGUUGCUACUAACACAAUACAUGUCAAAAUUGUUUAUUUCCUUCACAAGUAAUCGAGACCUGAGCACAGCGUCGAAGUUCAUCCUUGGAACCAAUCAAUCAACUAAUUUUCACUCAAAGUUGGCGCUGGUCGAAUGCAAAUCACAAUCAUUCACGCCCGUCACCGAAACAAUUGAACAGCAAUCAAGCCACUAGCAGCCCUUCAGCGACGACGACCACAUCAGCAGCAGCUGCAGGAGCACGUAUACGAACAACCCAGGCGUGAACCAGUCACUCUAUCUCACUCCCUUCGUAGACAAUCACAACCACUCUAUGGACUUAGAUUCAAGCUUCAGCUGCAAGUUAAAGCUUGCAUCAGAAAGAAACGAUGUGAUGAACGAGAGAGGGAGAGAGCGAGAGUGAGCGCUGACCCCCAGCGAGACCACUUGGGCCAAUGACUAGACACAACAGUGAUGAGCAAAGGAAAGGGUGAUUUCAUGCGACUUAAGUAGUUAAGACAGGCUACUGUUUCUUCAGAAUCCCAAUUUGCCGCCUGUUUAUAGGCUCAUGAUUAGCAGAGGAUUGAUCGGCUAGUCUAGAGGAGUAGGGGGGAUUGUAGGAUGCCGGAUUGGGAUGGAAGGAGGAGCUUACACAGCGGACGAGAGCAUCAAUAAGGCACUUAAAAGACAGACGAUGAACCGGAUCCUCGUCGCCCAACGGUGAGUGGUGGGCUCGCUCGCAUGACCAGGACGAGAGACGAGAGACGAGAUGGUUGGCGAAAUGGGUGGUGGCCAACACCGUGGUCCAUCUGGUCGCAGCUCGACGACGACGACGAUGGUGCUCUCGCAUCGGUGAUGCCUGGAUUGGUUAGGUACCCGCAUCGAGAGCAGCCCCGAUUCUUUUCUCGUGAGAAUUCGCACUGUCUGUCUGCCUGGCUCCAGUGCGGACUGCCACGGUGACCAGCCCCCCCCCCCUCCUCCCCUCCCUUGUCGCGGUAUGCUCGAUUAGCGGCUACAGGUCUGAUCCGGAGUGGUGGCAUUGUCCGCGCCACCACGUCGGUGCCGUUGCCAUUGGCCGUGUGAGGGGCGCUAUUCCCACUGAGGACAGAAAGGUAGUGAGAAUCUUUAUUUAUGUAUUUAUUUAAAUGAAUUUAUUUAUUUAUUGAAGUUCCAUGGAC